AAUUCACCUUUGAGCGUUCUUGUUCCUAUCCCUUCCCACCUCUCCCAUCUCCGGUGCCGCCGCCGCCCGCUCGCCCUCAUCCCCAAACCUCCAGCUCCCCACCUCCCCUGCUCGCUCCCUUCCAGGAGAUGCCAUACCGGGGACGGCUCCCAACUUUUCUCCUGUCAGAUCUCCCUCCACAUCUCGCCUUCUCCCCCUUCCUCUCCUGGCACCGCCUUGAUCCUGCCCCCAAGAUCUCCUAGCCACUACGUCCGCCCCCACCCUCGUUGCCCAGAUCUGGUAGUCCCUCCAUGUCUGUCCACCCCUUUCCUGCUCUCUCCCUGGUCGGCUCACUCCCGCUUGCAACCACCCACACCCAGUUCUCCUCCAGAUACAGUCCUGACUGCAGGGGACGUGGUGUCGGCCCAACAUCAAGGGUGGUACGGGAUGGGCACCCAAUACACGUUUCUUUACCCUAAACUUUUCACUGCUCCAUCGAGGGCAGAGCCGCCGCCGUUUCUUCAAUCUCCUCGCAGCACUGGUGCUCCAUCUUCGCUCCCUUUUUUACCUGCGAUCGGCACGCAGGCGGCGGCGGCGCUCAGGCUCGGGCUCUGCGACUGCGUCAGCGGCUUCCUCUCCGGCCUCCGUCCUCCCGCCAGUCACUGCGCGCCCUCGCCCUCGGUCCUCUGCACAGUGGCCGGUGACCCUGCGUGCUUGCCUUUCUCUCUCCUCCCGCCUCCGGUGGAUCGUCAACGGCGCCUGGCCCGGGCGGCAGCGCGGCGCGCGUCUCGAGGGCAGCGGGAGCCAGCAGCCGCUGCUCCAACAAGGCGGAAGCAAAGCGUUACCCUUCCUUUUAGCGCUUCAGCGCGCUGACGUGUGCGCUUAGUUCCGCCUUUUGGAACCCUAAACCCUGGGCUUUAAGAAGACACUACUGCUGCAACCAUGAGCACCAUGAAGUUUUGUCGCGAGUGCAACAACAUCUUGUACCCCAAGGAGGACAGGGACAGGCGCACCCUGUUCUUUGCAUGUCGCAACUGCGAGCAUCAGAUUCAGUACCUAGGAUGAAGUUUCAGGGCUGCCAGAUUUCAGUUUCAGAGCUGCAAGAUUUAUGCAGAAUUUGAAGACUAUGCUACCAAAAAAGCUUUCCUAAUUUACCUAUGAUGCAGUUCAGUAUUGUUAAGGAUGAGUCAUAUGUUUAUAUCUGUCUCCAAAAAUAUUUGUACAUGCAUGAAGUGGUGAUUAUUUUAAGUUGUGCUACUCUAUAUAUUGACUAUUUUAUUUCAAUGAGAAAUGGUUUGUCCAUUGCAA